rnacentral:tRNA from 1 species
GCGGGUGUGGCGGAACUGGUAGACGCACCAGAUUUAGGUUCUGGCGCCGCAAGGUGUGGAGGUUCGAGUCCUCUCACCCGCACCA